GGUAGUCCACGCCCUAAACGAUGUCAACUAGCUGUUGGGGCCUUCGGGCCUUGGUAGCGCAGCUAACGCGUGAAGUUGACCGCCUGGGGAGUACGGUCGCAAGAUUAAAACUCAAAGGAAUUGACGGGGACCCGCACAAGCGGUGGAUGAUGUGGAUUAAUUCGAUGCAACGCGAAAAACCUUACCUACCCUUGACAUGUCUGGAAUCCCAAAGAGAUUAGGGAGUGCUCGCAAGAGAACCGGAACACAGGUGCUGCAUGGCUGUCGUCAGCUCGUGUCGUGAGAUGUUGGGUUAAGUCCCGCAACGAGCGCAACCCUUGUCAUUAGUUGCUACGAAAGGGCACUCUAAUGAGACUGCCGGUGACAAACCGGAGGAAGGUGGGGAUGACGUCAAGUCCUCAUGGCCCUUAUGGGUAGGGCUUCACACGUCAUACAAUGGUCGGGACAGAGGGUCGCCAACCCGCGAGGGGGAGCCAAUCCCAGAAACCCGAUCGUAGUCCGGAUCGUAGUCUGCAACUCGACUACGUGAAGUCGGAAUCGCUAGUAAUCGCGGAUCAGAAUGUCGCGGUGAAUACGUUCCCGGGUCUUGUACACACCGCCCGUCACACCAUGGGAGUGGGUUCCACCAGAAGUAGUUAGCCUAACCGCAAGGAGGGCGAUUACCACGGUGGGGUUCAUGACUGGGGUGAAGUCGUAACAAGGUAGCCGUAUCGGAAGGUGC
rnacentral:rRNA from 1 species